rnacentral:tRNA from 1 species
GGAUAGAUGGCUGAGCGGUUGAAAGCACCGGUCUUGAAAACCGGCAAACGUUUUUGCGUUUCGUGGGUUCAAAUCCCACUCUAUCCG